UACGGGGGGAGCAAGCGUUGUUCGGAUUUACUGGGCGUAAAGGGCGCGUAGGCGGCCAGCACAAGUCAGUUGUGAAAUCUCCGGGCUUAACUCGGAAAGGUCAACUGAUACUGUGCGGCUAGAGUGCGGAAGGGGCAACUAGAAUUCUCGGUGUAGCGGUGAAAUGCGUAGAUAUCGAGAGGAACACCUGCGGCGAAGGCGGGUUGCUGGGCCGACACUGACGCUGAUGCGCGAAAGCCAGGGGAGCGAACGGG
rnacentral:rRNA from 1 species